ACCCAACACCCAGGUUAUGUGGCUCUCCUGCCAGUGCCUUGCCCACACGGGCUGUUGUGACAUAUUGCUGGGUCCACACCCAGGUGAUAUAAUUCUCUUGCCUAGGCCCUGCUUACAGAGAGCAUUGUGACAUAUCUUUCUGCUCAUCACACAGUUAAUAAGACAGUUUCUGCCUGGUUUCUCCUUACAGGGUGUAUCAAAACAGAUUGCUAGGCCCAGCACCUAGCUGAUGUGACUCUUUCUAGGUUUUGCCCACAAGGAACAUUGUGACAUAUCACUGGGCCCAACAGCAAGGUGAUGUUGCCCUUUUGCUUUGGCCUUGCUCUCAGAAAGCAUUGUGACAUAUUGCUGAACCCAGCACCAAGGUGAUGUGAGUUGGUAUGCCUGGACCCUGCUAACAAGAGGCAUUGUGACAUACUUCUGGGACCAUCAUCUAUUUGAUGUGACUCUCCUUUUACCUGGGCUUCUGUUGUAAAAGAGAUUGUGACAUAACUCUGGGCCUAACAGCUAGACUUGUCUGCAGCGCAGAUUGCUACAUAUUGCUUGGCCCAGCUCCUAUGUGAUGUGACUCUCCUGUCAUACCUGAGUGCUCCCCACUGCGGUAAUUGUGACAUAUAGCUGGGCUCUGGCCCUAGUUUAUGUAACUUUUCUUCCUGACUGCUACUCACCUGGGGGCAUUGUGACAUAUCUCUGAACCUCUCACCUAAGUGAUGUGAAUCUCCUGCUUGAGCCCACUUCUCAGGGAGUAUUAUUAUAUAUUGUCACACACAGCAACUAGGUGAUAUGACUCUCUCUACAGCUUGGACUCUGCCCAAUAAAAAACUGUGAUGUAUCAC
rnacentral:lncRNA from 10 species